CGUUGAAAAAGAGUAAAGAAAAGACUUUUUUUCAAAAGAAAGAGGAAAGAUUGUUUUAAAAAGAAAUAUUCUGGUGAGAUUAAGAAAAGGAGCUUUCCGUUUGUGGCUUUUGAUUCGAGGUUUGGGUUUGUUAAUUUUGGUGUUGCAAUUCAAGGGUUGUCGCUUUGUUUAGCCGAUUGAUUUGCAAUCUUCGGAUUUGUUCAUCAAUAAAAGAUCCAGGUACCGUCCAGCAUUAGAGACUUUAGUAGCUAUCAUUCAUCACUCGGAGACACGAGGUAGAUCUGCUAGCAUCCGCAGAAUUCCUGGAGUCUUCUCUUAGUUUUAUAGAGACUGUUUAUUUUACUCAAAACAGAUGCAUUAUUUCUUUCAGCCCAUUAUAUGUAGUAUUCUUAGAAGUUCGUAAAUUGUGACACCAAAUCCUAGGGUAGUCUUAGAGUUAUAUAUUUAAUUUGUGGCUUGGUUUA